rnacentral:rRNA from 1 species
UACGUAGGAGACAAGCGUUGUCCGGAAUUACUGGGUGUAAAGCGCGUGUAGGCGGUAGGCCAAGUCUGCUGUGAAAUCCCUCGGCUUAACUGAGGACGUGCGGAAGAAACUGCAAGGCUUGAGUCCGGGAGAGGGGGGUGGAAUUCCCAGUGUAGCGGUAAAAUGCGUAGAUAUUGGGAGGAACACCGGUGGCGAAGGCGGCCCCCUGGACCGGUACUGACGCUGAGGAGCGAAAGCGUGGGGAGCGAACAGG